rnacentral:misc_RNA from 1 species
UUAAGUUCAGCGGGUAUCCCUACCUGAUCCGAGGUCAACCGUAGAAGGAGAUAGGCAUUGCCUGGCAGGCACCACCCGGGCCUCCAGAGCGCGAGAUGUACUACGCUUGGAGCCGGUGGGCGGCACCGCCACUAGAUUUCAGGCGGGCCAGAACGGCCGCGCCCAAGACAAGCAGAGCUUGAGGGUUGCAAUGACGCUCG